GGAGAGAUGGCCGAGCGGUCGAAGGCGCACGCCUGGAAAGUGUGUAUACGGCAACGUAUCGAGGGUUCGAAUCCCUCUUUCUCCG
rfam:Proteobacteria bacterium ST_bin11 340, whole genome shotgun sequence.